UAAAAACAUAACAGCAAGCCAAUGCACAAUUCUGAGUCAGGGAGACUAAGUGCAGCAUGCCGAUGACCUCAGGCUGAGUUGUUCAGUAUGACAAGUCUAGGUUUUCAAACUUAAAAGAAAACCCCAACUACUACUCAUGCAAUUAAUGGAAUUCACAGAUGCAAACACUGAAGUGCCUAAUUCUCCCACGCUAUCGGAAAGUUACCAUCUCGCACCUUUAAACACUUUCAGCGGAGGUAGAACCCGGCCUGGUAUCUGAUGUUCGAAGUUAAGGAAGACCGAGAUUAGCUCAGAGUCCUGCUGAGUGCCAUACUGUGGAAUUCAGUAACCUGUACACACGGAGAGCCAUCUGUCAGUCGCUGAGAAGGGAUCCACAUUUCACCAUAGUUUAGACAGCACUGGUCAUA